UAAACGAUGUCGAUUUGGAGGUUGUGGCUUCCGGAGCUAACGCGUUAAAUCGACCGCCUGGGGAGUACGGCCGCAAGGUUAAAACUCAAAUGAAUUGACGGGGGCCCGCACAAGCGGUGGAGCAUGUGGUUUAAUUCGAUGCAACGCGAAGAACCUUACCUGGUCUUGACAUCCAGGUGCUGCAUGGCUGUCGUCAGCUCGUGUUGUGAAAUGUUGGGUUAAGUCCCGCAACGAGCGCAACCCUUAUCCUUUGUUGCAACUCAAAGGAGACUGCCAGUGAUAAACUGGAGGAAGGUGGGGAUGACGUCAAGUCAUCAUGGCCCUUACGACCAGGGCUACACACGUGCUACAAUGGCAUAUACAAAGAGAAGCGACCUCGCGAGAGCAAGCGGAUCUCAUAAAGUAUGUCGUAGUCCGGAUUGGAGUCUGCAACUCGACUCCAUGAAGUCGGAAUCGCUAGUAAUCGUAGAUCAGAUGCUACGGUGAAUACGUUCCCGGGCCUUGUACACACCGCCCGUCACACCAUGGGAGUGGGUUGCAAAAGAAGUAGGUUACCACUUUGUGAUUCAUGACUGGGGUGAAGUCGUAACAAGGUAACCGA
rnacentral:rRNA from 1 species